GACAGAGGGUGCAAACGUUGUUCGGAAUUACUGGGCGUAAAGCGCGUGUAGGCGGCCCGGAAAGUCGGAUGUGAAAGCCCUGGGCUUAACCCAGGAAGUGCAUUCGAAACUCCCGGGCUUGAGUUCUGGAGAGGAAGGCGGAAUUCCCGGUGUAGAGGUGAAAUUCGUAGAUAUCUGGAGGAACACCGGUGGCGAAGGCGGCAUCCUGGACCGACACUGACACUGAGGAGCGAAAGCCAGGGGAGCAAACGGG
rnacentral:rRNA from 1 species